AGGGCUCCAGCGAAACUUAUGGAGAAACCCAACUCGAUUCUCGAUCAUCUGAUCUGAUCACUCAGCAGAACACCAUAAUUCCUCAUUCAAACUAUUUCCCUCAUUCAAGUUCUAUAUACCUUUUGUAGCAUAAUUCCUUCACAUCUAGUUCGAAAUACCCAUCCCUAUUACAACUCGACUCGACCAGUUACUUCAACUUUGCAGCAAAUCAAAAGCACUAGACCAAGGACGAAAAACCCAUCAACGGCUCGUUCUCCAUGGGCUAGAGCAAGACCCUUUCAUGACCACAAAAUUAGUUCAAAUGUACGUGGAUUGUGGGGGAAUCAGACCACGUUCUGUUCGACAAAAUGCCGCAACCAAAUGUGUUUGCCUGGACUGCAAUCCUUUCGAUUUCUUCGCGGCGUGGAAUGUCAGGACGAGUGCAUUGGGUUUUUGUUGAGAGAUGAAAGUGAAUGGUGCAAUUCCUUAGGAGUAUGUGCUUCCUAAGGUCUUACGGGCAUGUGCUCAUUAUCGGAAUUUCAAAUCAAGUCCACAAAGAUGUGGUCACUUAUGGAGCUGAAUUGAAUUUACAAGUUCGAUGUUCUU